rnacentral:rRNA from 1 species
CCUGUGACAUACCUAUACGUUGCCUCGGCGGAUCAGCCCGCGCCCCGUAAAACGGGACGGCCCGCCCGAGGACCCCUAAACUCUGUUUUUAGUGGAACUUCUGAGUAAAACAAACAAAUAAAUCAAAACUUUCAACAACGGAUCUCUUGGUUCUGGCAUCGAUGAAGAACGCAGCAAAAUGCGAUAAGUAAUGUGAAUUGCAGAAUUCAGUGAAUCAUCGAAUCUUUGAACGCACAUUGCGCCCGCCAGUAUUCUGGCGGGCAUGCCUGUUCGAGCGUCAUUUCAACCCUCAAGCUCAGCUUGGUGUUGGGACUCGCGGUAACCCGCGUUCCCCAAAUCGAUUGGCGGUCACGUCGAGCUUCCAUAGCGUAGUAAUCAUACACCUCGUUACUGGUAAUCGUCGCGGCCACGCCGUUAAACCCCAACUUCUGAAUGUUGACCUCGGAUCAGGUAGGAAUACCCGCUGAACUUAAGCAUCUCAAUAAGCGGAGGAAAA